UGUCGUGACUUGCGACAUCCCUUCGGAACAACACAACGACGCAUGAAGACAGCUCGACGAUGGCAGAGCUAAAAAAACAAAACAAAAUACAAAGCUUGCUUUGGAGGGAGGGAACAAUGCCCGAAGCCGGCACGUUCGCCGGCAUGUGAGUCUGUGACCUCCACCUCCACCCUCUCCGCCUUUCCUUCUGCUGUUUCUGUCGGAGAGUAUGUCCGCUUCUGGUUCAAGGUCCCAGAGGUCGUCGACCGGCGUCUCGCCGUUCCGGUCACGGAAGCCGCCGGCGUCGAAGAACGGAGGACGGCCGGCCACUCCGUCUUCGUCGUCGACUUCUAGAGCCCCCUCGAAGCUCUCUGUUUCUCCGACGACCUCGGCCAGCCCGUCGACACCGGCCGUGGACCGUCCUGAUUAUAGCACGGCUAAGGAGAAUGUGACGGUCACGGUCAGGUUUCGCCCCCUCAGCACCCGGGAGAUUAACAAAGGGAACGAGAUAGCUUGGUAUGCUGAUGGAGAUUACUCGGUUCGGAAUGAGAACAAUUCCUCCACUGCUUAUAGUUUUGAUAGAGUGUUUGGUCCAGCUUCAACAACUCGUCAUGUGUAUGAUAUUGCUGCUCAGCAUGUUGUAAGUGGUGCCAUGGAAGGAAUUAAUGGUACAGUAAUGGCAUAUGGCGUUACUAGUAGUGGGAAGACUCAUACAAUGCAUGGGGAGCAAAAGUCACCAGGAAUUAUUCCAUUGGCAGUGAAGGAUGUUUUUGGUAUUAUACAAGAGACACCAGGGCAUGAGUUCCUUCUUCGUGUUUCUUAUCUAGAAAUUUACAAUGAGGUCAUCAAUGACUUGCUAAAUCCUACAGGGCAGAACCUACGAAUACGAGAGGAUUCUCAGGGAACUUAUGUGGAGGGAAUUAAGGAAGAAGUUGUUUUGUCCCCAGCCCAUGCUCUUUCCUUGAUAGCAUCUGGUGAAGAGCAUAGGCAUGUGGGUUCUAAUAAUUUUAAUUUGCUUAGCAGCCGGAGCCACACAAUUUUCACCCUGACUAUUGAAAGCAGUCCUCGUGGGGGAAAUCAAGGCGAAGAAGAUGUGACACUGUCCCAAUUGAACUUGAUUGAUCUUGCAGGGUCUGAAAGUUCUAAAACUGAAACGUCUGGUUUGCGUAGAAAGGAGGGUUCAUAUAUAAAUAAAAGCUUGCUUACUCUUGGCACUGUGAUUUCGAAACUAACAGAUGGAAAGGCUACUCAUAUUCCUUAUCGAGAUUCAAAACUCACCCGCUUGUUGCAGUCGUCUCUUAGUGGCCAUGGGCGGGUCUCUCUUAUAUGCAAUGUGACACCGGCCUCUGGAAAUAGUGAGGAGACACACAAUACACUGAAGUUUGCACAUCGGAGUAAGCAUGUGGAAAUCAAGGCUUCUCAGAAUAAGAUUAUGGAUGAGAAAUCUCUCAUUAAAAAGUAUCAGAAAGAAAUUUCAAGUUUAAAACAGGAGCUCCAGCAAUUGAAGCGUGGCAUGAUGGAGAAUCCACAUACUAUAUCAUCUACCCAAGAAGAUAUUGUAAAUCUGAGGCUUCAGCUGGAAGCUGGUCAGGUUAAAUUACGGUCACGACUGGAAGAGGAAGAACAAGCCAAAGAGGCUUUGAUGGGAAGGAUUCAACGCUUAACUAAACUAAUUUUGGUUUCCACAAAAAAUGCAAUGCAAUCAAGUAUUUCUGAGAGGGUUGGUCAUAGACGAAGACAUUCUUUUGGAGAAGAUGAGCUAGCAUAUUUGCCAUAUAGAAAACGGGAGUACAUGGUUGAUGAUGAUACUGGAAGCUUUGAUUCUGAACUUUCUGCUGAAGGAAGGGGUGAUGUCGGUAGUUUAGAUGAGUCGGCCAAAGAUUACAAGAGGAACAGGAGAAGAGGAAUGCUUGGAUGGUUUAAGCUGCGAAAGGCUGAGAAUCAGGUUGUAAUGUCCCCAAGUGCUGAAAGUGAGACCUCUCUGAGUGGGUCUCCUGCUUCGAGCUCAAAAUCCUUGCAAAAGAGAGUCAUCUUUAAUGACAUGAAAGAUGGGCAGAGGAAAUCAGUCAGUAGGUCAAGGGAUGAUCCUUCUAUUGUUGAUUCAUUUCCUGGAAGAACCCAAGCAGGUGACCUGUUUAGUGCAACUGUUAGAGGUCACUGUCUGCCUCCGACCAAUUCCACUAUUACAGAUCAAAUGGAUCUUCUCCGCGAGCAGGUGAAAAUGUUAGCUGGGGAAGUGGCAUUGUGCACCAGUUCCCUGAGAAGACUGUCAGAGCAAGCAAGCAAAGCUCCGGAGGAUUCACAACUAAAGGAAAACAUGCUGAAGUUAAAAGAUGAAAUUAGCGAAAAGAAGCAUCAAAUACGUUUGCUGGAACAACGUAUGAUUGUCUCAGUUGAUAUGUCUGCACAUACAUCCAAUAGCAUUGAAAUGUCUCAGGCUCUAGCCAAGCUUGCUACUCAGCUGAAUGAAAAAACGUUUGAACUUGAGAUUAAGUCAGCAGACAAUAGAAUUCUUCAGGAACAACUGGAAAUGAAGAUAUCAGAAAACACCGAGAUGCAAGAAGCCAUGUUUCUGUUAAGACGGCAACUUGAUUCUUUAUUAGACAAACGUUGUGAUGAUCCUCAACAAAUUGCUGACUAUGAAGCUGCUACGUUCAGGGGUCUUUCUGGAAGGUUGUCAGGAAACAAUGAUGAGGCAAAGGAUGUGAUUAGCUUAUACGGAAAGAGUCAUACUGAUGACAAUACGCCAACAAGUGUAAUGAGCUUGAAUAGAGUAUUUUCCCAAGAAGACUCUAGGGAUUGUAAUGGUGAUGCACUUUCGAAUUCUCAAGUUCUUAUGCAGGCAGCUGAGAUAGAGAAUUUAAAGCAAGAGAAGGUGAGGAUAACUGAAGAGAGAGAUGGGCUUGAAAUUCAGUGUCAAAAACUGGCAGAAGAAGCUUCAUAUGCAAAAGAGUUGGCUGCAGCAGCCGCAGCUGAGCUGCAAAAUUUAGCUGAAGAAGUAACAAAAUUAUCUUACCAAAAUGCAAAAUUAGCUAGUGACCUGGCUGCUGCAAAUGAGGCCCUUCACAGACAUAAACACCCUCAGAGGUUUGCUUCAUUUGAUAUGAGGCAAAAUAACAGCGUUGGUGCGCAAUCUAAUGUGAGGUCCCAAAGAGCAGGGGAUGGGAUUUUUAUUGAGGAGAAUGUGCUUAAUACAAUAUACAAUAGAGAAGCUACUUUUGAAAUUGCAUUACCAGUAGAAGAUGAGCUUGGAGAAAGACUUGAUGAAGCAAAACAGCGUGAAAUAGACCUGGAGAAUGAGCUUGCAAAUAUGCAGAUAUUAGUUUCAAAGAUGAGGAAAUCUACCAUUCGUUCUGAGGACAUCUCAUCUGGCAGUACAUAUGAUACCAUACUAGCCAAAAAAAAAAAAGGAUAUCCUUCAUCCAAUGGUUUCUCUGACAGAUACGAUAAAGAAAGGAGAAACUGUUGAGAAAUGGAAAGCCUUGUUUCCAGAUUGAAGGAUGAACCUACACGUUGAGGCUGUAACCAAGAUUUGCCAUGAAAAGGUCUUGUUUUUGUAGCAUCAUGCAAAUAUAUUAGGAGUUCUAUUUAUUCGCCAGCCUCUAGACGUUUGUCAUAAUCGCAAUGAACGCGGAGAAGCAUUUACCUGAAGAGUUAGAUUUAGAAAGCCAACUUCUAAAAUUAAUAGAGGCAAUGACAAUUAAAAGCACGGCGUCACAUGAAUUUCCUUUGUAACUGAACUAAUACAUUUUCACUUUGAGUUUGAAGCGACUUUUAAAAAAUGAGAGGAUGAGUUGAAGGGAUACUAUUGCUGGUCGGCCUUUUAGACUUGGUGAGUAUUUUAGGUAAGCAACAUGGAAAAUGCUCCAUUGUCAUGGGUCAUGUCUACAUGGUAACGGAUAGUGGAGCGACCAGUUGACCCCGUGCAUCCACCACUCCCUUGCUGCCACAUUAGAUCGGGACACUGACAUUUUAGCAUUGCUCAAGUUAUUAUAUGCUAAUUUCAGUGAUUUUUAAAACUUGAAAGAUGUAAAUCUAGUGGGUUAUUAAAUACUUUUGGAUUAAUAUUAAUUGCAAAAUUUACUUU